ensembl:lncRNA
GCCCCAUAGCACAGCCCUUCUGUCCCAUAGAUCUCAGCCCCACAGCACAGCCCUUCUGUCCCAUAGAUCUCAGCCCCACAGCACAGCCCUUCUGCCCCAUAGAUCGCAGCCCCAUAGAUCUCAGCCCCACAGAUCUCAGCCCCAUAGAUCUCAGCCCCAUAGCACAGCCCUUCUGCCCCAUAGAUCUCAGCCCUUCUGCCCCAUAGAUCUCAGCCCCACAGCACAGCCCUUCUGCCCCAUAGAUCGCAGCCCCAGAGAUCUCAGCCCUUCUGCCCCAUAGAUCUCAGCCGCACAGCACAGCCCUUCUGCCCCAUAGAUCGCAG